CCUACGGGAGGCAGCAGUGAGGAAUAUUGGUCAAUGGACGAGAGUCUGAACCAGCCAAGUAGCGUGAAGGAUGACUGCCCUAUGGGUUGUAAACUUCUUUUAUAUGGGAAUAAAAUGUUCCACGUGUGGGAUUUUGUAUGUACCAUAUGAAUAAGGAUCGGCUAACUCCGUGCCAGCAGCCGCGGUAAUACGGAGGAUCCGAGCGUUAUCCGGAUUUAUUGGGUUUAAAGGGUGCGUAGGUGGGUUGUUAAGUCAGUUGUGAAAGUUUGAGGCUCAACCGUAAAAUUGCAGUUGAAACUGGAAGUCUUGAGAACAGUAGAGGCGGGCGGAAUGCGUGGUGUAGCGGUGAAAUGCUUAGAUAUUACGAAGAACUCCGAUUGCGAAGGCAGCUCACUGGACUGCAACUGACACUGAGGCUCGAAAGUGUGGGUAUCAAACAGGAUUAGAUACCCGAGUAGUC
rnacentral:rRNA from 1 species